rnacentral:rRNA from 1 species
GUCUAUAGCCAUACCACCCUCAAUGCGCCUGAUCUCAUCUGAUCUCGGAAGCUAAGCAGGGUUGGGCCCAGUUAGUACAUGAAUGGGAGAAGAUGUAAGUAAGCAAUUGCAGAAA